AUUGAACGCUGGCGGCAGGCCUAACACAUGCAAGUCGAGCGGAGCGGCGGACGGGUGAGUAAUGCCUAGGAAUCUGCCUGGUAGUGGGGGAUAACGUCCGGCAGCGGGCGCUAAUACCGCAUACUAUCAGAUGAGCCUCGUUCGGAUUAGCUAGGUGGUGGGGUACAGGCCUACCAAGGCGACGAUCCCUAGCUGGUCUGCGAGGAUGACCAGCCCGACGGGAACUGAGACACGGUCCAGACUCCGACGGGAGGCAGCAGGGGGGAAUAGUGCACAAUGGGCGCAAGCCUGAGUCAGCCAGGCCGCGUGUGGGAAGAAGGCCUUCGGGUUGUAAAGCACUUUCAGCGGGGAGGCGUUACCCGCAGAAGAAGCACCGGCUAACUCCGUGCCAGCAGCCGCGGUAAUUC
rnacentral:rRNA from 1 species